CGGUUUAAUGACCGGCUUGCUCGCGGAUUUCAUACAAAAUGAAAUAGACUAGUCGUGUGUCUCACUUUGAGCUGCGGGUGCUCGACGGUACACCACAGUGGUCAUACAACACGUUCUGACAGCGCUUUUCUGACUGCCUCUCUGAGCCUUUCGAAAGGAACAACAUGAGAACCGCCAUUGUCAUCCUGCUGAUCACCAUUGUAGUUCUGGUUGCGGCUCAACACGAUCAAGACGAGGACAUUAAAGCGCUCCAGGAAGAACGUGGUUGGUUUGGUAGCCUUUGGAAAAUAAUAAUCAAAGCGGCGAAGGUUAUCGGCGGGCUAAUUGCCGGCGCUACGUCAGGCAAAGGCGGAGAACAGGAAAAGUAAACGUAAUGAAGCGGAGAGCAACGAAAGAUAAAUAAAUGAAGCUCGAGAUGUGGGA